AUGAGAUCCAGUGCCUCCCGAGGUCCUUAUCCACCACAGCUCGUGAGGAAGCCGCGGGAGGAGGAGAUCAACCGGGCAUUUGCCGGCCGGAGAAGGAGGAAAUGCGCAGAUGCCAGCCAGGGAGGCAGAUCGACUCGCCUCCGCUGCGCCAUGAGCGCCGCCGCCGCCUCUGCAUCCACCUUGCUCCGCGUAGCAGCAUGUGUGCGGAAGCAUGGACAGGCGACCACAAGCAAAUGGCAUCGGCGGCAACAGCAACACACACGGUGUGAUGGGCGCGGCCUGCCCGUAGGCAUUCAAGGAUGGCGUGCCCGAUGGCUCGGAACGCAUGCGCCCGACGCACAGGAGGUAUAUGCCUCGGAGCACGCCGGCGGCAACGUGCACCGCGAGGUCCCAGAGCAGCCCAGCCAGUACAGAGCCCCUCCAUACUGGACGGACCCUGCGACUCCAUCCUCGCCUCCACUCACAGGUCUAUGCCGAUUUCCACAACAACACUGCCUUCAACUUUCUCAUUUCCCCGGCUCUGCAUACAAGGUGCAAACUAGUUUUCUGGUCCAUAUUAGUUUGCUCGAGCUUGUUUUUACAUCUGGUCAUAUUUACACCUCUCCGCCGACUGCCACCUAUCAUGCAGGAGGGAGAUGGCUUUGCCAGGUCAUCAACGCCCAUCGGCAACUUCCGAUGAAUCAACAAGUGUUCUCCAAAAGGAUGAAGUUUUUAGCUAUCAUUUGUUCUAGAAUCAUCCUGACCAUUGGGUUCCUCGUGUUCUCCUUGGUGGUUCUGUACAUUGUCUCAAGACGCAUUGGCCUGUUGAUACUGCAAAGGAAGCUGGCUGAUGCUAGAGAUCAGGCUCAGUAUCAGCUGAAGACAUCUUGGAAAAAGUACAGGAGGGACCUGCUCAAACAAAUGCUCCUCCCAUCUAUGAUGAACUGUGAUUUUACUUUCAUCAAUUGUUUAUACAUGAGCUUACAUCCAGAAGCAAGCUUACCUCUUAGAGUUCUUAUUUCUUAG
rnacentral:rRNA from 1 species